GGCCUUAUAGUUGAUUUUAAUAUUAGAUUGCAAAUCUAGAGGUGAAAAUAGAUUUUUCUAAGGCUU
rnacentral:tRNA from 1 species